AAUUAUUAAGGUCUCUCCUUUUUCAAAAGGGAAAGACCUUACUGUAUUUCUUCUGUUUAUUAUUAUUAUUAUUAUUAUUAUUAUUCUUUUUCCGCCAAACUUUGACGAAGUUAGCAGCCUUAACCGUAAGACGUGUCGCUUUCAUGUUCACACUUUGUAUCGGUGUCAUGAAUACCUAUCCAGAACUCACCCUGUUAGUCGAAAUAUUUUGUCGGUUCGGAGUAAUCCCUCCGAAACCCAAAAACCUUGUUAUCGUUCCAACACCG
rnacentral:lncRNA from 1 species